ensembl:snoRNA
GCAUGGGUUUGGAUUUAUGGCAGGCCUGUCCCCCUGGGCCUCAUAGCGUCCCAUGCCAAAGCAAACUGUAGCCCUGAACCAUUGCCUGGCCUCUCUUUCCAUAGGCUGCUGGCACUGAAGUGGGUUGUACAGUG